GUGCUAAUACCCGCGAAUUUCGCGGUGUUGAGAAAUGAUAUGUUUUCUAUUGUUUGAAAAAAAUUACGUUUAUACUUAGUCUUGAAACAUAAAGAGUAGAUUACAAAUUGGCCCUAUGAUGCUGCUAAAAUAGUUAGGUUAGUUGAUUUUUAGCUUAUUGGAUGUGUGCUCCGCAAAUGACUUUUUAUAAUGAUAUGCAUCUUAGUUCUAUCACUUAUAUAGCAAGAAAUCCAAUCGGAACCCUUGAUCACUAAAUCUUUAGUUCUAUACAAAUCACCACGCUUCAUGGCCCCUUUGAGAAAUGUGUCAUGUAUACCAUAAAGGUUCGUAAAUAUGUGGUAUGUGGUCUUCAUCUUUCAAACCACCAAAAUAAGUUUUCUUUAAGAGGGGGAAGUGGUGGAGGUUGUGCAGUAUUAGCCUCAACACAGUAGCCCAUUGUAGGGAAAAGAAUCCUCUUCAUGGUUUUUACCUGAACUCGUGUUGACAGUUGACACGUUAGCCAACCCAUCCAACUUGUAUUGUUUGUACUCUUUCAAGUAGUAUAUUGUGGAAAAACAACAUAGCAUUCCUAGCUCUUUUUUUUUCACAUAACUCGGCUCGAGCACACUCUGUAGCCAGCAAGGCCAACAAACAAUGAGUACCGGGUUACCAUCAAUUGAACCAUAACUAAAAGGUCAUAUGGGGUCUGCUUGUGUCUGGUUGGUG
rnacentral:lncRNA from 1 species